GACGAGCGCUGGCGGCGUGCCUAACACAUGCAAGUCGAACGGAAAGGCCCUGCUUUCGUGGGGUUCCCGAGUGGCGAACGGGUGAGUAACACGUGAGUAACCUGCCCUAGACUUUGGGAUAACUUCAGGAAAGUGGGGCUAAUACCGGAUAGGAGCCCCCGCUCCAUGGUGGGGGGUGGAAAGUUUCGGCGGGUGGGGAUGGACGCGCGGCUUAUCAGCUUGUUGGUGGGGUAGUGGCUUACCAAGGCAUUGACGGGUAGCCGGCCUGAGAGGGUGACCGGCCACAUUGGGACUGGGGUGCGGCCCAGGGUCCUACGGGAGGAAGGAGUGGGGAAUAUUGCAAAAUGGGCGGCAGGCUGAUGCAGCAACGCCGCGUGCGAGAUGCCGGCUUUCGGGUUGUAAACCGCUUUCGCCUGUGACGAAGCGUGAGUGACGGUAAUAGGUAAAGAAGCACCGGCUAACUACGU
rnacentral:rRNA from 1 species